AAUCAACGCUGGCGGCGUGCCUCAGACAUGCAAGUCGAACGCGAAAGUCCCCUUCGGGGGGACAAGUAGAGUGGCGCACGGGUGAGUAACACGUAGGUAAUCUACCUUCGGAUGGGGAAUAACAACCGGAAACGGUUGCUAAUACCGCAUAAUGCAGCGGCACCUAAUGGUGACAGUUGUUAAAGCGGGGGGAUUGAAAGACCUCGCGUCUGAAGAGGAGCCUGCGGCGGAUUAGCUUGUUGGAGGGUAACGGCCUACCAAGGCGACGAUCCGUAGCCGGCCUGAGAGGGCGGUCGGCCACACUGACACUGACAUACGGGUCAGACUCCUACGGGAGGCAGCAGUCGGGAAUUUUGGGCAAUGGGCGAAAGCCU
rnacentral:rRNA from 1 species